CUCUUUGGUCCUAACCGUAAGCUUCUUCCCAAUGGUAGCUUUGUAAUUCUUUACAACUUUGAUUCUGGGCUGGGAUUUUCCGAGUUUGUCAUCGAUAACGGGAUCAAGAUUGCUGAAACUGUUCGUUCUGGGGUUCAAUUCAAGGUGGAGAGUCUUGAUAGUAGCGAUAGGGAAACUAGUGAUUAUAGUGACAAUGAGAAGGAAAAGGAAGAGGAAAAUGGAUCGGUGGGUUUAGAGAAAGGUGGAGAUUUGGACAGGAUAGUAGAUUUGCAGUUCUUUAUUAAGGGAUUGGAGCUGGGCCGGCGUGACGCUGCUGCUUUGUUUUUUCUAAUAAGUUUCUUAUCUGUAGCUUAUGGGUGGGUGAUUCUUGGGUUUACUGCUAUAUAUUCGUGGAUAUUGGGCAUUGUUUUUGUUGCUGUUGUUAAUGAUUUGUUGGGGAGGUUCACUUCAUUCGUUGCUGUUGUUUGGGAUGGGUCUAGAUUGGGGCUGAAACGACUCACAGGGUUUAUCCUCAUGAGAUGGGCGGUUAGGGAUGCUUUGACUCAGCUUAUAGGGUUGUGGUAUUUUGGUGAAAUUGAGGACCAAUACUCGUUUUUUAAGCUAUUUAUAAGGUUGAAAUUGAUGCCAUUUUCCAUUAUGUCCCCAUGGAUUCGAGGAUUUGAAAAAGAAAUUUCAGGGUUUUUGUUUACUUGGUUUUUGUUGGAUGCAUUUGUGGCGUUUAUAUUUGCAGUGGAUGCAUGGGUUACCAUUGUGGAUUCAAGGAGGACUGGUAGAGAGAUUAUUAAGGAAGGUUGUUAUUUGAUAUCAACCUUGUUUAACCAGGCUGUCCAAAUAAAGUCUAUGGAAACGAUACUUUGUGGGUCAGCAGCAAGAUGGCUCUUAACUCGGGUUUUUGGGAAGUUUUUGGCUGCAGUUUUUCAGUCAGCUGUUGAGGUUUACUUUAUGGUAGCUUGGUUGAUAUUUUACUUUGCUGCAAGGUGUAAAGAAGCUCAUUCUGAAGGAAGGAGGUUCGGGAGGAGAGAAUUGGAAGGAUUGAUUGAUGGCCUUGGAUGAUAAUCACUGGUGAUUAGAGAUGAUAGUUUCCAGUUGCAGGCAAAGUCAACUGUAGCGCUAAAAUAGCAUGUGCAGUGAUCUUCACUGCUUUAUGUGUUCCUGUUUUUUGGAGCCCCAGUCAGUCAGCACUGCCAUUGGUUUGAGAUUUCCAUGGCCAGGAAAUUGAGUCUAAGCUGCUGGAUAACAUCCUUCAAAUGGAGGCAUUUAUGGACUUGGCAAAUGGCAACUGUUUUCACUAUUUACUGCUGGGAGUUAAAACUGUACUGUCUUCAGAAUAGGGAUAUUUGCCAACCCUAGCAUGGGAUGGAAGUUAUUGUGUAUGGUCCUAUCAGAGGACUUUAUUCUCUACCCCAUCAGGCUCAUUCGCUUCAGAGAUCUUAUGCCAUGAAAGAAAUUAUAGCAUUGGGCAGUCUCCCAGAAGGCCAGAUUUUACGAUUUAGAGGGAAUUCUACUUUGUGAUGAUGUUCCUAUUCAUUUUCCUUUAUCUUUGAUUUUGGGAAGCUAGGGGGUCUUAUGGCUGUAUGAUGUUAGGGAUUAGUUUUGCAGCUUGUCAAGUUAAUCCUGCCGAUUAUUUCUUGGUUCUGGUAUGUGUUUUUGGCCCUUGAAAGAUGUUUAUGUCCAUCAUGGUUGUAGGUCCAUGGCUAUGGUCCUAUGGAUUCUGUUGGGGUCAGUUCUUGCUUUUGCCAUGCUGAGAGUGUGGCGUAUGCACGUCUCUUGUUUGUUGACAAUCUUGUUAAUCGCGGGUAAUAGUUUGGCGUGUAUGUGUAGUCAUUGUAUUAUGCUGUUCUAAUGAGGCAAACAUAACAAGGUCAUCUAAAGAUUUUACAGUAUUAUAAUGUCUGCGUG
rnacentral:misc_RNA from 1 species